rnacentral:rRNA from 1 species
GUAGUGAACUGCGGAGGGAUCAUUACCGAGUUUACAACUCCCAAACCCAAUGUGAACGUUACCAAACUGUUGCUCGGCGGGAUCUCUGCCCCGGGUGCGUCGCAGCCCCGGACCAAGGCGCCCGCCGGAGGACCAACCAAAACUCUUAUUGUAUACCCCCUCGCGGGUUUUUUACUAUCUGAGCCAUCUCGGCGCCCCUCGUGGGCGUUUCGAAAAUGAAUCAAAACUUUCAACAACGGAUCUCUUGGUUCUGGCAUCGAUGAAGAACGCAGCGAAAUGCGAUAAGUAAUGUGAAUUGCAGAAUUCAGUGAAUCAUCGAAUCUUUGAACGCACAUUGCGCCCGCCAGUAUUCUGGCGGGCAUGCCUGUCCGAGCGUCAUUUCAACCCUCGAACCCCUCCGGGGGGUCGGCGUUGGGGAUCGGCCCUUUACGGGGCCGGCCCCGAAAUACAGUGGCGGUCUCGCCGCAGCCUCUCCUGCGCAGUAGUUUGCACACUCGCAUCGGGAGCGCGGCGCGUCCACAGCCGUUAAACACCCCAAACUUCUGAAAUGUUGACCUCGGAUCAGGUAGGAAUACCCGU